GACGAACGCUGGCGGCGUGCCUAAUACAUGCGAGUCGAGCGCAGGAAACUGACGGAACUCUUCGGAGGGAAGGCAGUGGAAUGAGCGGCGGACGGGUGAGUAACACGUAAGGAACCUGCCUCAAGGAUUGGGAUAACUCCGAGAAAUCGGAGCUAAUACCGGUUAGUUCAACGGACCGCAUGGUCCGCUGAUGAAAGGCGCUUCGGCGUCACCUUGAGCUGGCCUUGCGGUGCAUUAGCUAGUUGGUGGGGUAACGGCCCACCAAGGCGACGAUGCAUAGCCGACCUGAGAGGGUGAUCGGCCACACUGGGACUGAGACACGGCCCAGACUCCUACGGGAGGCAGCAGUAGGGAAUCUUCCACAAUGGACGAAAGUCUGAUGGAGCAACGCCGCGUGAGUGAUGAAGGUUUUCGGAUCGUAAAACUCUGUUGUAAGGGAAGAACACGUACGAGAGGAAAUGCUCGUACCUUGACGGUACCUUACGAGAAAGCCACGGCUAACUACGUGCCAGCAGCCGCCGUAAAAC
rnacentral:rRNA from 1 species